CCUACGUGAGGCAGCAGUGGGGAAUAUUGCGCAAUGGGCGAAAGCCUGACGCAGCGACGCCGCGUGAGGGAUGAAGGUCUUCGGAUCGUAAACCUCUGUCAGCAGGGAAGAACGGUCACUGUGCUAAUCAGCAGUGAAUUGACGGUACCUGCAAAGGAAGCACCGGCUAACUCCGUGCCAGCAGGCGCGGUAAUACGGAGGGUGCGAGCGUUAAUCGGAAUUACUGGGCGUAAAGCGCUCGUAGGCGGUAUGUCAAGUCAAGGGUGAAAUCCCCGCGCUCAACGUGGGAACUGCCUUUGAAACUGGCAAACUGGAGUGUGUGAGAGGAUAGUGGAAUUCCAGGUGUAGGAGUGAAAUCCGUAGAGAUCUGGAGGAACAUCAGUGGCGAAGGCGACUAUCUGGCACAUAACUGACGCUGAGGAGCGAAAGCGUGGGUAGCAAACAGGAUUAGAUACCCCAGUAGUC
rnacentral:rRNA from 1 species